AUGACCACAACUGCACUUCAUCCCCAUGACGCUGGUGACAUCACCAGCCACAUGGGCCAGGCUGCCACAGAGUCCUGUCAUCUCCAUGAUCUGUCACAGAUGGCCUUUGUCUCACUUUCACCUGCCAACCUUGACACAAGUAGGUCAACAAUCAGCCUUCAGAUGGUUCAAAUUAGUCAACAUAGAUCAGAGCUGAACCCCUGCCCUACAAGUGAACAUAACUUCUCCUGUGAGAAAUCACCUGGCAGCGGGCUACAAGAAUGCCCUUUACUGAAGUAAUAUAGAAAGGAAGUGAUGAAAGCAAAAGGAUAUAAAUCGUUCACUUUAUUGGUAAGUGCUAAUUAAGUCAUGGAUUACUUCAAACAUGACCAACCCACCGAUACUACUAACCAUAUUAUCACCAACUGCUGAACUCUCAGGGGAUUUGAGUGAUUAUUAUACAACCAGAUAUACAUUUGAUGAGGGAAAAUAUUUGAUAUGGUUUGGCUGUGUCCCUACCCGAAUCUCAUCUUGAAUUAUAGUUUCCAUAAUCCUCACAUGCCAUGAGAGGGACCUGGUGGGAGGUAAUUGAAUCAUGGGGGUGGUUGCCCUCAUGCUGUUCUCUUGAGAGUGAAUGAAUUCUCAUGUGAUCUGGUUGUUUUAUUAGGGGCUUUCCCCCGUUUGCUCAGCACUUUUCUCUCCAGCUGCCAUUUGGAGAAGGUCAUGUUUGAUUCCCCUUCUGCCAUGAAUGUAAGUUUCCUGAGGCCUUCCCAGUCAUGCAGAAGUGUGAGUCAGUUAAACCUCUUUUCUUUAUAAAUUGCCCAAUCUUGGGGACUUUUUCAUAGCACUGUGAGAACAGACUAACACAAUAUUACAAGGAGGAAUUGUUUAAUACUUUUGUAGGUGUUACAAAUUGAUCUUAGUGGGGCGUUUUUUGACCAACUGACCAACUUGUGCCAAGGGUCUUCUCUUAUACUUACUUCUACAACAGUCAAUUAGAUUAAUUACAUCUGAUCCAAUCACUUCCUAUUCUUCAAUUAGUUUCAGCAAACAAUAUUACUGCCUGUCUUAUUGCUUUUUUAUUCAAAAUUGUUCGUAGCAACCUUGCUGGCAGGUACUAAGAAGGUAAUGAAUUUGAGCUUGUCUUAUUUUGCAGAACAUGUGUUAACAUAUCCAAAUAUGAGCACCAUAUAAAAAUGCACAUGAUGUUUUUCUGGGCAAAACAUUAGGAAGAGCCAGGCUUUUGGAUGUUGCUUUUUUUAAAAAAAAAAAUAACUUGACAUCUAAUUUUCAUUUGUUGUUACUUUUUAAACUAUGAUUUUAUAGAUUCAUUUGGUUAUUUUUAAAAUGUGGGCUAUAUUUGUUCAAAUAAAAUAUUUCAACAUUUUAAUAUAUUUCAGCGAUGUAUAAAUAUAGUGAAGGCACAUUAUGCCUGGUUUAAAUGUGUAAGUUUUUUUCUUUCACAAUAAUGUAUGAAAAAUAUUUCAUUUCUUGAAAGAAUUGCUUUUAUAUUGACUUGAGUUUUUACAAAAAAAUCUGUGUUUGUCUAGCUUUAAAAUCUUUUGUACUUCUUAAAGUGAGACUAUUUCUUAUUAAUAAAGUAAAAGCUAGGAAUCAUUUACUCUAGAUUAUUUAGGAAAACUGCUAUGAAAUGUAAAAUUCCAGAACCUCUUUUUACUUGAUGUAGUUUUGCAAAGAAAACAAUUUUACCAAAACUUCCCACCUAAAAACAAAAUGCUAUGUCUUUAGAUAUAUUCUAUCAAGAAAUCAUGGGGACUUACAUUGAUUUCUUGAUAAGGGAAAAUUAAUAUAAGUCAAAAAUAAACAAGCAACAAGAAAAUCUUAAAUCCAGACUUUUGUAACUAAUUAGGGUAAUGAUAAAGGAAAAUGAGUAAAUGUUUUCUUUGAAUAGCUUAAUGUGAGUCACAGGAAAAAAAAGACCUAUUCUACUAUUGAAGAAAAGUACUCAUCUACAAAAAAUUGUAAUGGAAAAACUUCUGCUGAGCAGGCUAGGAAUGGAUAUCCCCUAGGACCCAGUACAGUUAAUGGGUUUUUAGUUCUGUUCUAAAUGUUUUCGUUUUCAAUUCUCAAUCAGUGUUGUGCAAAAUGUCAGGUUUUCUUCAACUUUCUUUUCUUCCUCCUUGGAAACUCUUACCCUUUGUCAAUUGUUUAGAGGCAGAAAAGAUUACAGUUCUGUACAAGAAGUCCAGGUUAGUUGAAGAUACUAGAAUUCAAACCCUGCAAAGAUUAUACCAAAUGUAUAUGUAUGCAUUUUUAAACUACCUAGUUUGCUCCCAAUCUGUAAAAUUUCAACAGACUCAAAUUAUAUCUGUGCCUUGGAAAUAAAAUAGGUGAUUAAUUAGCCAUUAAAGUAGGAGAAUCAAAAGAUCAGCUGACAUAAGAAUUAAAUUGCCUUUUAUCCCAAGAACUACACUUUUAAAAAACCUAGUUACAGAAUGAUUAAUCAUGAAGUGACUCUUCUGGGGAAACUUUGUUCUGAGUCUUUUAGUUUUGCUAACUUAAUGUCUCUGAUUUUUUAAAUAAC
ensembl:lncRNA